rnacentral:rRNA from 1 species
UACGAGGGGGGCAAGCGUUGUUCGGAAUUAUUGGGCGUAAAGGGCGCGUAGGCGGUCUGAUAAGUCUGAUGUGAAAUCUCUGGGCUCAACCCAGAGUCUGCAUUAGAAACUGUCGGGCUUGAGUAUGGGAGAGGUGCGUGGAAUUUCCGGUGUAGCGGUGAAAUGCGUAGAUAUCGGAAGGAACACCUGUGGCGAAAGCGGCGCACUGGACCAAAACUGACGCUGAGGCGCGAAAGCUAGGGGAGCAAACAGG